ensembl:lncRNA
CUCUGAAGUCGCUUAUAAUGUAGUGAGAGAGAUAAUUAUUUACCUUUGGAAUGAAAAUGAGACAGUUAAAUUCAUUUCUCUGGGAAAUAGCAAUAAGCAGUUGAUUUUUUACACUUAUUGUAUAUUUUGUAAAUAUUUAAGUCUUUUUGGAUCCAGUUUUUCCCCAACAUUUUCGUGUGACGUUUUUCAUGCAAACGGAAAAGCUUAAAGGUUUGCUGCGCUAAAUGUCUGCAUACCCACCUAAAUGAAUGCAUAGAUGUGAUGAAGCAAAUAGGGCAAAAUGUUAACACCUGGCUCAUAUUUCAACAAGAAGGUUUUCUCAGGUAAAAGUAUUCUGAUUUAUCAGUUUACUAAAAGAAGACUAAAGAUCCCCCCCGCCCAUUGUAGGGUUUCUGGUGGUAAACUGUCCUUUCAUUCUUUUUUUUUUCUCCCUCCUUUGAGGAAGAUUAGCCCUGAGCUAACAUCCACCGCCAAUCCUCCUGUUUUUGCUGAGAAAGAUUGGCCCUGAGCUAACAUCUGUGCCCAUCGUCCUCCAUUUUGUAUGUGGGAUGCAACCUGGCAUCUGAACCGGGGAACCCCAGGCCACCAAAGUGGAGUGCGAACUUAACUGCUGCGCCACCGGGUGGGCCCCUGUCUUUUCAUUCUUGGGGUAAAGUCUGCUUGGUCGUGAUAUAUUAUUACUUCUUUAAGGUACAGCUGGAUUCUGUUUGCACGUGUUUUAUUUAGGAUUUUUGUAUCUGUUUUUUAUAAGUGGAAUUGACCUCUAGUUUUCUGUUUCUGUUGUGUUCUUGCUUGCUUUUGGUGUCCUUGAUGAAUGAGUUAGGAAGCUUUUUUUUUUUUAAUGUGUUUGGGCACUUAAUAUUUAUUACAGGAAUGACCUAUUCCUCAAAGUUUUACAAAAAGUGACCAAUAAAAUUGCCUGAGGCUGCUGCCUUUGGAAGAGAUCUUUGACUGUCUUUUCAUUUUCUUUUUUGGUUAAUAAUUUGUUCAGCUUUUUCCUUUAGCUUCAUUUUGGGCAGUUUAUAUUCACCCAGGAAAUUACCCAUUUCUCUUGGUACCCCUCCCCCCCGCCCCCCGCCAUUUGAUCUUUGAUCAGACUGACCCCUCUGCCUGGAGUGUGCUUCUUGGCCGGAUGGGCAGACUUCAUCUCAUGCUCUAAAGAGCAGCAUCCUUUUCAUUUCUGUGGAUCUUCCCUGAUAGAGUCCUCUUCCUUCUGUGCUGAGUUAGGAUUUUCCUGGUCAGUAUCCUUGCUUGUUCUCUGAUAGUAUGGUAAGUGUAGAGACGGUGUCUUUUAUUUUUGUGUCCUGGGCACAGCCACAGAUCCUAGCACACUUAUGUCCUAAUCCAUAAUGAGGACUGGGCCUGGGUGAGAAUUGGUUUAUGGGCUUGGGACUUUGUAGUAGAGUGUCAUUGUUUAUCAGACAUCCUCCACUCCCCCCGCCCUGCCUGUAUGGCCUCUCCUAUUGAACUCAAGAGUGACCAUGUGACAUGGUUUGCUUAUGUGCUAUGGUCAGAAGUGUCACUUUGUUUUUUGUUUUGUUUUUGAGGAAGAUUAGCCCUGAGCUAACAUCUGCUGCCAAUCCUCCUCUUUUUGCUGAGGAAGACUGGCCCUGAGCUAACAUCUGUGCCCAUCUUCCUCUACUUUAUAUGUGGGAUGCCCGCCACAGCACGGCUUGCCAGGUGGUGCCAUGUCCACACCCAGAAUCCGAACCAGUGAACCCCGGGCCACUGAAGCGGAACGUGCGAACUUAACUGCUGCACCACUGGGCUGGCCCCAGAAGUGUCACUUUGGGUAGAGUUUUUAAGAGGCUGAGUAUGGCGCUCCGUCUUUCAUUUCCCUCUGCCGCUCCUGCUAGCCAUGUUCUGAACAGAGGCUGCACUGUUAGCCUUGGUCCUGAGUGAAGAUGACUUUGAGCACAAUUACAGUUGACACAUGAUGGACGCGGAGCUGGAGUGAGAAAUAAACUUUCAUUACUUUUAAGUCGCUGAGAUUUUGUGGGGGAGUACUUGUCACUACAGAAUAACUGGGCCCGUCCUGAUUGAUACAGACCCCUUUCUCCACUUCACUCUGAGGCUCCUGUCUUCUUCAGGGUGAACUUUGAACCCUGUGGACAUUUGCUUACUCUUUGCCUUUUCAUUUAGGCAUUUGUUCACUGGGCACUAUUUUAGGCAAUGGGGAAUAAAAAGGGCUUUGGAGUGAGAAUUUUGGGUUCUAGACUUGGCUCUGUCACUUGGUAGCUGUGUGAUCUUUUUUUUUUAAGAUUUUAUUUUUUUCCUUUUUCUCCCCAAAGCCCCCCGGUACAUAGUUGUAUAUUCUUCAUUGUGGGUCCUUCUAGUUGUGGUAUGUGGGAUGCUGCCUCAGCGUGGUUUAAUGAGCAGUGCCAUGUCCGCGCCCAGGAUUCGAACCAACGAAACACUGGGCCGCCUGCAGCGGAGCGCGCGAACUUAACCACUCGGCCACGGGGCCAGCCACGGUAGCUGUGUGAUCUUAAGGACAGAUAAACCGAGCUCUUAGUCCUUGGUUUCCUCUUCUGUGAGAUGGAAAGAAUAGCAGUGUCUUCCUCUUGGCUGUGUUGUGAAGAUUUCGUGGAACUCUGCACUUAGUACAGUGCCUGUUUUAUGAAUGUUGGCUACACAUACUAGUAUUAGUGGGAGGGAGAGGGCUGUAUUUUCCAGCUUAGGUUAAGUUGCACGGCAGUAGCACGGCCCCCAAUCUCAGUGGCUCACACGGGAAUCUAACCUUCAGCCCAGUCUUAGUCCUCCUCCAUGUGGGUCAGCUUUAACUCUGCACCGUGACAUUUUACAGUAGAACCAAGACCCCUUUUGGGAACAUGCUGCUUUGAGAACAUGGCAGAUGGUGGAAUCAGGCAAGGCUUAGAAGUGACUUUCACUCACAUUUCAUUGUCCAAGGCAAGUCUCAAGGUCAAACCUGAUGUCAGGGACAGGGAAGUACAAUCUUAUUACAGAGAAACCAGUAAUUGGGAAAAGUAAUAAAAUCUACCACAAAGGCUUAUUUUAGUCUAGUCACUAGGAUUAGCAAAACGACUGAGGAGUAUUUCUUCUUACAAGAAGCUUACAUUCUGGUAGAGAUAGUCAUAUGAAUAGAAAAAUUGUGAUGUGUUGUGAUUACGGUGAGAUGCCCAGGUUGCACAGGAGAGAGGGUGGCCAUGUCUGCCUUUGGUGUUGGGAUGAAUCACAAGCGCAUCUUAAGGGAGCCCUAGCCAGCCUCAGAAGGGAACUUAUGAAAUAGUAGGUCUGCAGCCAUUUGGGCUGAGAUGCUGGACAGGGUGUCUGAGUUGCUUCUGCUUUGUGAUCACGUGAGUGGAGGACUUCAGCCAGGGCCCAUCGGGAGACACAGUGCGUAUCUCUGAUAAAGCAUGUGGUGCACACACAACAGGAAGGUGAGGGGUUGUUUCACAGAGUCAUUGUGAGACCUGGAGCUCUACCUAACCUGAGAAGGAUUCAGGUUAGGCCUCCCAAACUCCUCAGAGCACAGGGACAUAGGGGGGCGAACACAGCUGGAACCUUUGGCCGGGCAGUCAGAGCUGAGGUCUGCAUGCCCCAAUCGGUCUGGAAUGAGACCUUCUGAGGCUCUGUCUCCAAAGACAUUUUGCUGUGUCUUCUCUCUGACUCAGGCUUCAAGUAGCAGAGACUGAUACAGGACAUGGAGUUUGAAUCUGAGGAGGGAAUAGUAAAUUUUGACAGAUAAGGGAGAGUGGCGGGGGACAGACUUGAGGGAAAGGAGUGAGGUAAAAAAAUCCAAGGAACCCGCAUAGACUGAGACUCCACAUUCGUUGGAUGAGGACGGUGGGAGAGGACAGGAUCCCUGCUGAGCAGGCAGAGGCUGAGGGCCUGCCAUAACGGUCCUAGCUACGUCAAAUUGUUUCUCCAUUCCACAGGUCCUGACUUCUUGGAAACAGGAUGGGCGUUUACAAGUCAGGUUCGGAAAAGUCACCCCAGGCAGCAGAAAUCCAUCUUGAGAUGAAAUACCUUCUACCUGGCCCUCUGGCAGAAUUUCAAGGCAAACGCUGGGCUGGCUCUGGGGCCAUGACAUUGCCUGAUCUUCUGCCUGGGGAGAGCAGGACCGGGAGGAGAUUUUGCCUUUGGAGAACAGGGAAGAUAUGGAAAGCAUGAAGAAAUUGACUCAGAAUCCUAAGGCCAAAGAUACCAGUUACAUUAAGGAAUGUGGCAGUAGUCUUCAUGGAGGCAAAUGGAAGAGACUGAGCUCUGAGCAGAGGAACCUAUACAAAGAAGUGAUGCUGGAGAAUUACCGGAAUUUGCUCUUGUCGGGUGAGUCUGUGUACCUUCCUUCAUUAAUUCAGUAGAGAUUUAUUGACCACCUACUAUGUGCCAGAAAAUGUUCUAGACACUUAGAACACAUUAGUAAAUGAAAUUGUAAUCCCUGCCCAUGGGGCUUACUUUUGAGUGUAUGGAGACAGACAACAAACAAAAAGCUUCAUAUCCAGGGAUAUUAUAAUAUGGUAUGUUAGAAGGUGAUAAGUGCUCCAUAGUUUAAAGUAAUUAUAAAAUAGAGCAGGUUAAAAGAGAAUCGAAUGUGAGAGGGUGGCUAGCUGAAUUUUAAAAUUGGGGAUUUGAAGUCAAUGAGGAGGUAACGUUUGACCAAAGACAUAAUGUGGUGAGGGAGUUAGAACUCUGGCUAUGUAGGGUAAGAGCAUUUCGGGUGGAGGGAACCAUUGGUGCUAAGACUUUAAGGAAAGGAUGUGCCUGCCUAGCAUAAAGAACUGCAAGAAAGCCAGUGAGACUGGAGGCACAGUUUGCGAGGAGGAGAAUGGUAAGAGAAGCCUUCUGUGACAGAAGUUAAAAUUAAAUGUCCAAUUUUGUAUGGCUUUUGGGUUUCAUAAACCAUAUUCUUUUAUUUUUCCUUUGUUUAGAAGCUUACACUGAUUCCUUAAAUCUAGGUUGAUAAAUAUUUUCGAUUGAGACAUUACUCUGGAUCCGAGGUUGGCCAACUUUUUCUGUAAAGGACUAGAUAGUAACUAUUUUAGGUUUUUGGGCAAUAUCAUCUCUGUAAACACUCUCAACUCUGCCCUUGUAGUGCUAAAUAGCCAUCGACACUACGUAAAAAAAUGAGCGAGGCUGUGUUCCAAUAAAACUUUAUUUGUGUAUACUGAAUUUUGAAUUUCACAUAAUUUUUAUGUAUCGUGAAACUUUAUUAUUCCUUUGACUUUUUUCCAACCAUUGAAAAAUUUAAAAACCAUUCUUAGUUUGUAGGCUAUACCGAAACAGGCAGAGGCCUGGAUUUAGCUUGUGGGCUGUAGUUUCCCCACCCCUUGUUCCAGAUCACUGCUGUUCAAUAGAAAUAAAAUGGGAGACAUGUGGGUAAAUUUAAAUUUCCUAGUAACCACAUUAAAAAAGUAGACGUAAUGGGUGAAAUUAGUUUUAAUAAUGUACUUUAUUUAACCUAACAUCAAAAUAUCGUUUAACAUGUAAUCAAUAUAAAAGUUAAUUUGAUAUUUUACUCUUUUUUUUGUAUUGUCUUCAAAAUUUAUGUGUUUUACAGCUAGAGCACAUUUCAGUUCAGACUGGCCACGUUGCGAGUGCUCAGUCAGCGUGGCUAGUGGCUCCCAUGUCAGAUAGUGCAGUUCUAGCCAUUCCUGUAUUUCUAGAGAAAGCCUGUAGAAAAGAACCACAGUUUUAGAGACACAAACCAGCUUCAGGCAGGAGUCUCCUUAAACGGCAUGGCUGUUUCCCUGAUGGGAAUCAGUCAGGGAAACUUUGUUCUAUUUUCGUCGUCUUUGAUGUGUUUUGAUUUGGUUCCAUCCGGUUUGAGCUCCGUGUAAUUAAGUGUGGCUUCAUCCAUUUCAGUCUGGUUAUGUGUGUUUUGGUUUUUGGCCUUAGCUAGCCAUUCUAACUCGAUUUUGUGUUCAUUUUUCUCUGGUCAUAUUAGUCCCUUUUUCUAUGUUAAUACAUUUAAUGGUUUCAGAGGAAAAUGUUAAAAUGCCCUGGUUUGGAUUAGUCUUGAUGUUGAAAGCCUGGAUCCCAAUUGCACUUCUUGACAUUGUUUCCUCUGUCUUUCUCAACACCACAAUAUUCUGCAGUCCUCCAGCCUCUUAUGUCUCUCUUUUGGGCUUUUCUCUUCUUUCUCUUUUCUUUGGACUAGGGAUCCACAGGACUGGUGUCACAUAUGCUUUUUUUCUGUGUCUAUAUUUACACCCUUAAACAAUUUUGUGAACUUUAACAAUUUUCCCUGUCCCAUAUUACAAUGAACUUAUUUUCUCUGUCACUGUCUCACCUGUGCUUUGUCCUCUUAUUUCUAUUUGGUUACAAGACAGCACAAGUUUAUUCUCAAACUUAUCAAAAAUUGAGACCUUACCAUUUUUCCUCCUAAACCAAUCUCUUUCUCUAAUUCUUCACAUAUUCCUACUGUGAUGUCUCUUCUUCAAGGAUACUGUUGGAAAUAAAUGGGCCAAUUUCUCCUGAAAUAAUCUUUAAAGCUUUCACAGGGGAGAUAUUUCAGUGAGCCUAGGCUAGGUAACACUGUGAUAACAAACAACCCCAAACUUUGGUGGCUUAUAAUAGCAAAUGUUCAUCUCUUACUUAUAUUACCUAUUGCCUACAGUUCAGGCGUGGUUCAGCUCUAUUGGUUCUGGAAUCCAGGCAAAAAGAACAGCAAAAGACCUCUAUCUGGGUCAUGGGGUUCUUAAGGAAAGAGGGCAAAAGAGCAAUGAUAGAACCACAUUGUGCCUCUUAAAGCUUGUUUGAAAGAGGCACUAACUUUUCACUAACCUUCGUUGGCCAAAGCAAACCCCACAGCCAAGUCUCAUGUCGUUGUGAUGGAUUGGUUUGGGCACAAGGUGCUAGAAUCCUGAAAUCAUGGACCAUGUCUUUCUUGUCCACUGCUGAAUCCACACUACUUGGUAGAGAACCUCACACUUAGAAAAUUCUAAUAAGUAUUUGUUUGCAGAUGGGCAACGUGAAAUUCAGGUUUCUUUCAUAUAUAGUCUGUUCAACCACUGUUUCUUAUACUGACUCCUAUGUUUGGAAGCCCUUCAGAUUGAGUGACUUUUUAUGUGUAUCACUCCCUUUUUUGUAAUAAGAAAAGUGAUGAAGAAGAUUUCCACAUAGGUCACAGAGACUGUUACCUCCAGUUGUGGACAGUAUAUGUCAGUGUGAGUGUUGAUGGCUUAGACGCUUUAGUAGGAAGAAAAGGCUAAGGAUAAUUGAAGCUGCUUACAGAGCAGAUUGCUUCCUUGAAAGGUUGCUAGUCUGGCUGACCUGUAGAAGAUGUUUUUGGCAUGGAUUUUCUGGAUCACUAUAGAAAAUGGAAUGUGUAGAAAUGGAAUGUAAAGGAAUUAUUGGCAAGAAACAAAUCAGGUUGUACACAUAUUAUCAGUUACACGUGUGGCAGGAAGACACCCUCUGUCCUAAGACAAGGCGGAGCAGCCCAGGAGACCCCUUAGCACUUCUCUAACUGGAAACUCUCUCUCCAGCAGAACCAAAGCCAGAAAUCUACCCCUGUUCCUGCUGGCAUUCUCUUGUCAGCAAUUCCUCAGCCAGCAUGUGCUUCAGAUCUUCCCUGGCUCAUGUGUGGAAAAUCACUUCCAUCCAGAGGAUUCUGGCCCGGAGCCUCAGGAGCAGCAUUAUUCUGCUCAGAGUUGCUGGAGUGAAUACACGGAAGGGCAAGAGAGGGAAGGUGGCUCCAAAGCCUUGUGUGCGGGGACAGAGGAGAGAAAGACCUCAAGCUCAUUCUCUGGCCCCCCCCAAGGACCGUCCGCAAGUCCUAGAGAAGUCACCACAGUGGUAGAAAUAGAGUCCAGUUCAGCCCAAAGAGUAAACCCUGUGCAACCAGACAAAGAAUUGAAGGAAUCAGAAAUCUUGAGAUCUGGAGCAGCCAACUGUAGAGAGCAUGAACGAGACUGUAGCCCGAAAUCAAACUUCGUUACCGACCAGAUGACCCCCUUCAAGGAGAAACCCUGUUUGCAGGGAGCGUGGGUGAGGCUGUAAAGAUAAGGCAGCCCUCAUCAGAUACCACUGGACACAGUUGGUGGAGAAGCCCUAUGUGUGCAGUGACUGUGGCCAAGGCUUCAGCCUGAUGUCAGUCCUUAUUAACCCCCAGGGGACACACUCAGGGGAGAAGCCAUAUGUGUGCAAGGAGUGUGAGCAAAGCCUUAGUCAGAAGUCCAACCUCAACACAUGAGAAAAACAGAUUCAGAAAAGUCUUAUUUGUGCAAGGAGUGUGGGCGAGGCUUUAGCCAGAAGUCAGACCUUAUCAAACACGAGAGGAUACACUCAGACUAGAAGCCCUAUAUUUGCAGGGAGUGUGGGAGAGGCUCUUGUGAUCUUGAGAUUCUUGUGAGAAGGCGAGUCAGCCUUCUUCACAUGCCACAGGGAGAAUCCUUCUGUGGGAUACUGUGGAACUCUGCCCAGUUAACCUUAUCAGGGCCAGCGCCCACGCCGCUCCAGAUAACUGCUGCUGAUGGCUGCAGAGCUGACUUCCUCACUAGGACUCGUUCUCAGCCACGGGGAACUGCACCUUCCCAAGGGCUGGCUGGCUCCUUGCCAAUGAAUGAGUGAUACGGUUAGACAAAACUCCCCUUGACUCAGUUGGGACAACUCCCAAGGUUCAUCCCAGAUCCAGAGGUGCCUGUUGGACUGAAGGAUCUCUCAUUUGCAAAUACAUUGCAGGUCAGCUUCUUCCUCUGCCCAGCCCUGCCCUCAUUCCCCAAUAAACCACUCAAUUCUUCAUCUCACUGUCUCUCCAGGGAAUCCAACCUAAGACAUCUUAAGUUGACAGGGAGUGUGGACAAGGCUUUGGCUAUAAGUCACCCCUCAACAAACCCCAGAGUACACAGCAUAGAAGCUCUGUGUGUGUGUGUGUGGAGAACGGGCAAGGCCUUAGGAAAAGCACACCUCAGUGUACAUCAGAGAACAGGUUUUUUGGGAGGAAGGGAGGGAGACUGUGAGAUGCGUUAGUCAUGCCUCAUCUUGCACCAGAGGACAUACUCAGGUGAGUAGACCCGUGGGGCAAGGUGUGUGGGUGGAGCUUUAUCCUGAUGGCCCCCUCAACAGAUGAAGAGGACAGAGUCUUGCCACCACAAACCACUACCUCAUGCACCUCUGAGGGGGUUUCAGAAGUCUUGACCACCCCCAUACUCUGUAUGAGUGUGAAAAUGGCACUAAUGACUAAAUAGACAUGCUUUUCACUUUUUGUAAUCAGAUGGAAUAAAAAAGUAGAAAGCUUUAUUUAAGUAAUCUAAGAGUGAUCAACUUGUUUUAUUUUCAUACACCAGUUCUUUCCCAUGUUUUCUUGUCCUUUGUUCUAGUAAAAUCUUUACUGAGCUAAGGCUUUGUAUCUUAGUCUCUCAUUUGUCUGGAAAGGAAUUCACAUUCACAACCCAGAUUUCCUCCAUUAAUUCAACUUUUAAGAAAAAAUAAGUCUCAAAUCAAUCUAACAGGUUUGCUGGGCAUCGGAGCCUUUGCAUGAGGAGGAUGAUUUAAGUUCUGGAGACAGGCCAGCUGAAGGGAGGGAACUUCCCAGGUCUCCAGGGGCUGGGUUGCCUCUUCUCCUACCUGAUCCCUCCCUUUGACUUCUGUGCAAGCUCCCUUCCCUGGGUUUUCUCCUUCAUUCUUAUCUCUUUCAGAUCUCUGCUGAAUCCUCGACCCCAUCAAGCAUUGCUGUUCCUCAGUGGUCUGUUCACGUCCUCCAGCUCCAGGGACCCUUUAAGCAUGCUCCCUCUGCAGCCUUCCAGAUUCCAGGGUCAGGUCCUUUAGCCAGGCCCAAACUGUUAUCCAUCAUGAAUCAUGGCUCUGGGCCCCUUAGCUACUCCCCACGUCAGGUCAUAGGUCUAAAGAUCCCUGAACACAGCUCCAAUGCUGUGCCCCCUCAGCCCGCCAACCCGAGGGUCCAGUCCUGCUAAUGACACCUCCCAUCAUCCCUCUACUAACUGGUCCGAGACAGCCCAGCCGUACUGCGGCCAUUGUUUCUGAGCCCAAGGACCUGGCCCUUUAGCCACACCCAUACCUAGUCCUGCUCCCUCAGAGCCCAAUUUGCCCAGAUUUUAGACAGCUCCGCAGGCCCAGGCUCUGACUUCUACGUCCUGGGCCAGUAACUGUUUACUGGAGAGGGUCUGCCUAGGCUCUAGCAAAUUGGUUUGCCAAUUGGCCAGAUUCAUGAAAUGGACAUCAGGCUUUGAAAAUCAGAAAAAGUGCGAAGUGGUUUUGACACCCCAGCAGAGGAGGGGGCAGUAGAAGAGGGUCUGAAGGCGUCACUGACUCCAAGGUCUCUACUCACUCCCUCAGCCGUGAAGUCAGCUUUCCAGUGGGUCCUGAGUCAGCUCUGGCGAGGGCAGGUGUGAGCCCCAAGUGUGGGCCCCGCCCUUGCUCCCGUCUCCCCUCGUGCUCCUUCGCCAGAGCUACCCCUGUGACACCAACGCUUUGCUUCUGGUCUGAACUGGAAGCCAGAGAGGGACAGGUGUAUGUGGGUAGGCCCUCUACAUUCCGGAUGACCCCAAGGCCUUGCCCAUGCCUGCCAUUGGGAGAGAAAAUGCAAACAAGAAAACCAGCACCUUCCUUUGGAAAAACGGGUAUACCCUAUUCAUCAGUUUUAGUCUAGAAGUCCUUUUGGAGAAUAGCCAAACACUCAGCUGCCCUUUAAUUAAAGAGAAAUUUGGGCCAGCUUGAAACAUGAUGUUCUAGAAUCCUAAAAUGAGAAAAGGUUCUUAGAGUUCCAUCCACCGGUGUUGUAAACAGGAUGAAAGCAUUCCAUGUCUGUCUGAGUUGGGGGGCAACAGCUGAGGAUUGGAAAAUCUCACCAAGCCAGGGACACACAGGCUCAGGUAUCGCCCUCAGCUGCUGCUGAGGUGGCCCCCUAGGGCGGGUCCCAGCCUACCUGGCUUACCAGGCUCCACAGAACACUCGCUGCUGCUGGUCAUCCGUUCCCCUUUUCCUGCUCCCCACUUCCUCUGGGAACUAGAAAGCUAUUUUUUGGCUGGGAGGAAGAGAGCCUAAUUUUAUGAAUGUUAAUACUGCUUACAGUAGUUUUUGUCUGAGCUGCCUCUCUUCUAAUUCCCUUGGGUAAAAGCAGCAGGUCCCGCACCUUCCGCUUAGUCUGUAAACACUGCCACCAAAAGAGGUUUACUUGUCUUUUGAGAGGGGGGCCCAACCCGUCAAAAUUGUAGCAUAAAUAAAUUGUGCAAUAUUGGAGGUGUGUCUGACUAAUAGAAUUGUGAAAACCUUUCCGAUCAGAUUUUCUGCUGAAUAUAUUGGCACGGAAAUUAUCUGGCGGUUGAAGAUCUGGAAGAGACAGUGCAGGGAAUCUGAGAAAACGUAAGAGAAAGAGAUGGUGUGAUGGCCAGCACUGAGACUGGGAUAAAUUUGGGAAGCAGGAAGUGUUGCAAUUGCCCGGGCAAAAUUUACAGCACAACUAUGGCAAGAGUGUGGACUGAAAGAGAAGAUGGACUCUGUAGGGUUUGUCUUCAAAGCACUUGGUGGUUGCCUGGAUGCAGAAGAUAAGGGAGAAUUUAAAAGGACUCCCACAAACACAGCUUUCUAACAGUAGAAACAUUUGCAAAGGAGAAAAAGUUCUCAUCACUCCAAGAAUCCAAGUGGAAAGCCAACAUCAUCCUAUCUGUGUUUACCAUAAGAAUAUUUCCUUCUCUAGAGGUAGGUUGAGCUGGCUAUCCUCUUUCCGCAUCUGAGUCUUGCAUGUGCUGACCCGUGUGGUAGAAUAUAUUUGUGUGUAUGUGGGAUGGUGCCACUUAUCAGCAUAUUGUCUCAGCUCCAAAUUCACCUUUUGUUGCCUAUUUGUGAAAAUGGACCUGGGCCCUUUAAAUAUUUGCCCGGUGGUGUGAGAUUCAUCAGUAGCGAGCUCUGGAGCCACGUGACAGGAGGAAGGGGUCCUCUUUCCUGGUUCAGGUGGCUCUUUCACUAGGCUCCUCAGCCAGCGCAGUUUUCUCCCAUGCUAAAUGCCUGCAGGACACAGCUUUCUCCACUGAUUGGCACCCUAUAUUUUCUCCAGCUGUCCACCCGGGCACUGGUGGCUUAGUCGGGAGCGCAAACAGUACAAGCCUGUGCCCCAGCCCAGCUCACUGCUCCUGCACCCUCUCUUCAGCCCCACGGGCAUACACCCUGGGGCCCCACUGGACUGGCUCUCUGGCAAGCAGAUCACCUGGCCUUCAUCCCCGGCAGAGGCUCAGAGCCUCCCAGCCUGGUUGCUUUCUCCUUGGCUCUCUGUGCAUGCACACCAGGGCCCCAGCAGCCACUCUGAGCUGCCCCAGUCCAGGCCGUGCACAGAAGUACACUAGGUUCUUGCAGCUUCUCAGCCUCCUUUCCAGCAGCGCCUCCAGCAGUGCCUUGACCUCCUCUGCUCACUUGCCCUUCAGUCUCAGCUCGCUUGUCCCCCCAGAGGUUUAUUUGCUGCGGCCCUCCAGACACAGGCACUGUGUGGUCCAGGCUUUGUGUCAGCAUCAACACCCUGGCCCUCUGUGCCCAUCCAGCUCCCUCUGUGCACCUGGCUACCAGCUUUGGUUGCCUGCACUCCAGAGGGUUAUUCCUGCUUGCUGGUGAUGGUAGACCUGCUCUGGCCCGUGCAAAUCCCCCUUACCCUGACUUUUCCACCAUCCAGUGGGCUGUAGCAACUUCUCCAGUGAGGGCUGAACCCCAGCCUUGGGGAGGGAACCUUCCAGCUUUAUACUUCCUUAGCACUCUCCCUCAGCUGAGGGUUUCAUUCGAUAUUUACAGUUGCUCCCCUAUCAUUGCAUAAUAAUUCUUUAUGUUAAAUUUCCCAUUUAAAUUACUGUCUGGUUUCUGUCUCCUCAUUGGACCCAGAUUGACAGAGAUGUGAAUGUGCAUGUGUGCAGUUUUUAUUUGAAGGCAAAGAGGUGAAUUUUUGACUGCAUCUAUUCAGUGAACACAGCAAUAAGCCAAAAGAAACAAUGCAAGUCAAAGUUAUUAUCAGCACCAGCUGGGGCUAUGGCCCUGAACCCAGACCCAGAAAUAUGAUGGUCUACAUCUGGGAAUGGCAAACUACAGAUCUGUCCUGCCACCUCUUUUUGUAUGGCCUGUGAACUAAGUAUAGUUUUUACAUUUUAAAU